CCAGAGAAUUUAGCAGAGAUGCUUUAGUGCCUUCGGGAACUCUGAGACAGGUGCUGCAUGGCUGUCGUCAGCUCGUGUUGUGAAAUGUUCGGGUUAAGUCCCGCAACGAGCGCAACCCCUAUCCUUUGUUGCCAGCGAUUCGGUCGGGAACUCAAAGGAGACUGCCGGUGAUAAACCGGAGGAAGGUGGGGAUGACGUCAAGUCAUCAUGGCCCUUACGAGUAGGGCUACACACGUGCUACAAUGGCGCAUACAAAGAGAAGCGACCUCGCGAGAGCAAGCGGACCUCAUAAAGUGCGUCGUAGUCCGGAUUGGAGUCUGCAACUCGACUCCAUGAAGUCGGAAUCGCUAGUAAUCGUAGAUCAGAAUGCUACGGUGAAUACGUUCCCGGGCCUUGUACACACCGCCCGUCACACCAUGGGAGUGGGUUGCAAAAGAAGUAGAUAGCUUAACCUUCGGGAGGGCGUUUACCACUUUGUGAUUCAUGACUGGGGUGAAGUCGUAACAAGGUAAGCGUAGCGAG
rnacentral:rRNA from 1 species